rnacentral:rRNA from 1 species
GACGAACGCUGGCGGCGUGCUUAACACAUGCAAGUCGAACGAAGUGGCGAACGGGUGAGUAACGCGUAAUCAACCUGCACUUCGGAGGGGGCCAACAGGUGGAAACGACUGAUAAUACCGCAUACGGAAGGAGGGGAUUGCGUAUGAUUAGGUAGUUGGAGGGGUAACGGCCCACCAAGGCGAUGAUCAGUAGCCGGUCUGAGAGGAUGAACGGCCACAUGUGGACUGAGACACGGCCCAGACUCCUACGGGAGGCAGCAGUGGGGAAUCUUCCGCAAUGGACGAAAGUCUGACGGAGCAACGCCGCGUGAGUGAUGACGGCCUUCGGGUUGUAAAGCUCUGUUAAUCGGGACGCGGUACCGGAAUAGAAAGCCACGGCUAACUACGUGCCAGCAGCCGCGGUAAUUC